AUUGUGGAAUUUUACAACUGAACGCGAGCGUGGUGUAGCAGACAGCGUACUGGUCUGUUAUACUAAAGAUUUUGGGUUCGAUCCCCGGCAGAAUCGAAAAUUUUCGUACGCUCGUAGCUCCUCUCGGAAGGCAAUGGCAAACCACCGAGUAGUAGAAUACUUG